GACCUAGCCUUAGGUGCCACAGAUACCUAUCAUUUAGACUAUCUCUAGGCCUUUUAAUUCUCAUUGCAUUCACAUUUUGCUCGAUAUGAAAUACAGAUACAUCAAUAUGUAGCUGAUAGAGAUCAUUAAUAAGAAAAUCAUUUGCAACUUUAUUAUUUUCAUAAAAUAUGUUACAAUGGUCCUUAUGAAAGCUAAUCACAUAGCCUUCU
rnacentral:lncRNA from 1 species